AUUUGGAGACAGCUGGUGCCCAGGGAGCGAGACGGCUGCUCAGUACCAAAAUCUCAUCAGGAUCUUGGUCAGACCAUAGAUUCAGAGAGCUUCUGGGCUCCUUGUGAGGUGCUGAACAGACACUGUACCUUGUUUUUUAAACAUCCCUCAAUUGCGUGCAACUUCUGCUUACUCAGUUCUCAAGACUCUUGACUCAGGGCCAGCCCAAGAGCAGACCCAGCCAAGGAGCCACGCUUUUGGCUCCUAGAUUCAAAGUCGUGGCUGCAGAAAUGUGUACAAAACAAUUCCAUGAAAGAUCAAGUGGAUAGGAUCAUUUGCAAUACAAGUUUAUCUAACGACUUCUCUCAAUUAAGAAAAUAAAUAAAUGUGCUUCUUACUUGCAGGCACGAGGAAGCAGCCUUUGAUCCAUCAUUCACUGAGACAAGUAUGGCUCGUGGUCCACCACCGUGAACUAUG
rnacentral:lncRNA from 1 species